CAAUGGUCUCACAGCAAGCACUGCAAUUUUGGCUUGAAGCCUAUUCUCCUCAUCUUGUUCUCUGAACAUCUUGUGGGCAGUGACUGAAUCCCUGACACCCAGCACAGUGCUUGGCGUUCAGCUGGUGCUCCACAGACAGUGACUAUACCAUGGUACAAGGUUCAUAGCCAAGAUGGUUCAUAGCCAAGCUUCACGUGAUAGUUUGCUGACUUUACCUGGAACUCAGCAAGAAUAACGUUAUAGGAUCCAGUCAACCCCAGGAUGACAGCAGGAGCCUGAAAUGCUUUGCAAGCCUGAAGCAGAAUCAAGCAUAUGAACUGCUACAUGUCAAUUAUAUUUUAAAAGUCUGAUAAAGUGAUUCUAAUAUGGGCUAGUUUAUGAGCCAAGAUGCAACAACACAGUGGCAGACUUCACUCCACAAUGGGUCUCCCACCGCAAAAUCAAUUUUAUUCUAAGGAAGUAUUUGCAUUGGAAAAUCUGUGAUGGAAUGGAAGGACCAGAAUGUUAACUUCUGUUCUUCACUUCCUCAUGAUAACACUCACCAUCUCUCAGUCUGUUUUGCAGUGUGUGGAAGAAUCUUUUAAAGCACUGAAGUCUGUGGAAACUGUGACUGCCUUACAUGCUUAUUCAAACAUACCUCUGAGCUCUCUGAGUGUUACUAUAAGGAAGACUCCAGGAGAAUUUGUAUAAGCAGGUGGACUACAUAAACAAAGAAAACCAUUUUGAAUAGAUCAGCUGACAGCCAAGUGGAUCAAGACCAUUUAGAGGAAUGCAGGCCUAUCACUAAUAGAAGGAAACAUUCUUUAGGAUGAAUUCUGAGUAAGAAAAUGCCCACCAAUACGGGGCUACUCAGGGGAAUAGGAUGUGCACAGAGGUGUCUCUGCACAGCAAAGUCUCGUAGAAUGAUAAAUAAUUUCUCAAAGGGAAUACUUCAUUGUCUGUGUCUUUGCAGAUUAAGCUGGACAAGAUCCUAGAAGAUUCACAGUGAGGAAUAAAUUCCAUGGACUGAUAAAUGCCAAUAUGACUGCCAUUAAAAGUUUCCAUUACAGACUGAGCAAUGAACUCACUCAAGUGAAAAAGCUCUGAUGUCAUAUCCAUUCAAAAUAUCUGAGUAAAUGAAACUUGAGAAUCAUUCAUUUUGAAAAAUGACUUAUUAGAGCUAAUUUUGCUUGCCUAAUUUUUUGUGCCUGCAUAAAAGACAAAAUCCCCUAACCCA